GACGAACGCUGGCGGCGCGCCUAACACAUGCAAGUCGAACGAGCGAGAGAGAGCUUGCUUUCUCAAGCGAGUGGCGAACGGGUGAGUAACGCGUGAGGAACCUGCCUCAAAGAGGGGGACAACAGUUGGAAACGACUGCUAAUCCCGCAUAAGCCCACAGGUCGGCAUCGACCAGAGGGAAAAGGAGCAAUCCGCUUUGAGAUGGCCUCGCGUCCGAUUAGCUAGUUGGUGAGGUAAUGGCCCACCAAGGCGACGAUCGGUAGCCGGACUGAGAGGUUGAACGGCCACAUUGGGACUGAGACACGGCCCAGACUCCUACGGGAGGCAGCAGUGGGGAAUAUUGCACAAUGGGGGAAACCCUGAUGCAGCGACGCCGCGUGGAGGAAGAAGGUCUUCGGAUUGUAAACUCCUGUUGUUGAGGAAGAUAAUGACGGUACUCAACAAGGAAGUGACGGCUAACUACGUGCCAGCAGCCGCGGUAAAACGUAGGUCACAAGCGUUGUCCGGAAUUACUGGGUGUAAAGGGAGCGCAGGCGGGAAGACAAGUUGGAAGUGAAAUCUAUGGGCUCAACCCAUAAACUGCUUUCAAAACUGUUUUUCUUGAGUAGUGCAGAGGUAGGCGGAAUUCCCGGUGUAGCGGUGGAAUGCGUAGAUAUCGGGAGGAACACCAGUGGCGAAGGCGGCCUACUGGGCACCAACUGACGCUGAGGCUCGAAAGUGUGGGUAGCAAACAGAAUUAGAUACCCUGGUAGUCCACCCCGUAAACGA
rnacentral:rRNA from 1 species